GACAGAGGGGGCAAGCGUUGCUCGGAAUUACUGGGCGUAAAGGGCGCGUAGGCGGGAUGGCAAGUCGGUCGUGAAAUCCCUCGGCUCAACCGAGGAACGUCGAUCGAUACUGCUGUUCUUGAGGAUUGCAGAGGAGACUGGAAUUCCCGGUGUAGCGGUGAAAUGUGUGAGAGAGUCGGGAGGAACACCGGUGGCGAAGG
rnacentral:rRNA from 1 species